GACGAACGCUGGCGGCGUGCUUAACACAUGCAAGUCGAGCGAUGAACCCGAAGCUUGCUCCGGUGGAUUAGUGGCGAACGGGUGAGUAACACGUGAGUAACCUGCCCUUGACUCUGGGAUAACUGCGGGAAACUGUAGCUAAUUCCGGAUACGACCCUCGGCGGCAUCGCCAGGGGGUGGAAAGAAUUUCGGUCAAGGGAGGGACUCGCGGCCUAUCAGCUGGUUGGUGAGGUAACGGCUCACCAAGGCGACGACGGGUCGCCGGCCUGAGAGGGUGACCGGCCACACUGGGACUGAGAAACGGCCCAGACUCCUACGGGAGGCAGCAGUGGGGAAUAUUGCACAAUGGGCGCAAGCCUGAUGCAGCAACGCCGCGUGAGGGAUGACGGCCUUCGGGUUGUAAACCUCUUUUAGUAGGGAAGAAGCGAAAGUGACGGUACCUGCAGAAAAAGCACCGGCUAACUACGUGCCAGCAGCCGCCGUAA
rnacentral:rRNA from 1 species